rnacentral:rRNA from 1 species
AACGAACGCUGGGGCAUGCCUAACACAUGCAAGUCGAACGAGACCUUCGGGUCUAGUGGCGCACGGGUGCGUAACGCGUGGGAAUCUGCCCUUGGGUUCGGAAUAACAGUUAGAAAUGACUGCUAAUACCGGAUAAUGACGUAAGUCCAAAGAUUUAUCGCCCAAGGAUGAGCCCGCGUAGGAUUAGCUUGUUGGUGAGGUAAAGGCUCACCAAGGCGACGAUCCUUAGCUGGUCUGAGAGGAUGAUCAGCCACACUGGGACUGAGACACGGCCCAGACUCCUACGGGAGGCAGCAGUGGGGAAUAUUGGACAAUGGGCGAAAGCCUGAUCCAGCAAUGCCGCGUGAGUGAUGAAGGCCUUAGGGUUGUAAAGCUCUUUUACCCGGGAUGAUAAUGACAGUACCGGGAGAAUAAGCCCCGGCUAACUCCGUGCCAGCCGCCGCGGUAAUAC